rnacentral:rRNA from 1 species
CACGUAGGGCGCAAGCGUUGUCCGGAAUUAUUGGGCGUAAAGAGCUCGUAGGCGGUCUGUUGCGUCCGCUGUGAAAACUCGGGGCUUAACCCCGAGCCUGCAGUGGAUACGGGCAGACUAGAGGUAGGUAGGGGAGAAUGGAAUUCCCGGUGUAGCGGUGAAAUGCGCAGAUAUCGGGAGGAACACCGGUGGCGAAAGCGGCUCACUGGACCAUAACUGACGCUGAUGCACGAAAGCUAGGGGAGCAAACAGG